UCGACCACCAACCUUUCGCAUCCGAGCUCCUCCACCUCUGCCCCCCUUUCCUCACCCACCCCAACUCCAAAGGCGACAUGCCUCUCCAUGUCGCCGCCCGAUCAGGCCACUCCACCAUUGUCAAAGCUCUGAUAAGUUUCGGCAAACUUUUGGGAGAUGUUGUUGAGGGAGGACGAGGAGGGGUUGGAGAGUCUCCAGCUUAUGUGGCGGCAGAGAGGGGAUGGGUCGAUAUAUUUCGGAAGAUAAUGAAGGCUACGCCCCAGUUUGUAGAGAAGGGGCCUGAUGCUUGGACACCCCUCCAUGCGACAGUCAUUAGAGGACACCGAGAGAUCGUUGAAGACCUACUAAGGGACAAACCAAACCUCACCAAAAAUGUGGACACCUUUGGCAGCACUGCUUUACACUAUGCGGCAUCCGCAAAUCAUAUCGAAAUACUAAAAGCCCUCCUAACGACGGAAUCCAAGUCCGGCGUACCUCUUAGAUGAAGAUGGCCUCUCCCCGCUGCACAUAGCAGCAGGCUCAGGGCAUGUGGCAGCAAUGCAAGAGCUAUUGUUAGCCUGCCCUGAUAGCGUUGAGUUACUCGACGAGGUUGGGCACAAUGCAUUCCAUGUGGCAGCCGAGAACGAUGAGCCCAGCAUCAUUAUGCACGCAUGCAGGCGAUCAGAAUUGGCUGAGCUGUUGAAUGAACCAGAUGGCCAAGGGAACACAGUACUUCAUAUCACUGUCAGAAAAGAAAACAGUCAUAAUGUGAACCUUCUUUUGGAUUUGCCGAACUUGGACUUCAGGGCCAUGAACAGCCAUGGCGAUACCGCUUUGGAUAUCACAGCUCAAAAGGGUGGGCAUACAUAUGAGCAGGUUGCAAUAUGGAAGGCCCUAGAGAUCCGUGGGGCAGCACGAGGGCGGCGCCGCCAAAGUCAGGAGCCACGACAGCAUUGGACAAGUGAGGCCACCAAUGAGUCAUACAAGACGAUGGCUAACACACUCGCUCUUGUGGCCACCCUGAUUGCCAUUGUCACUUUUGCAGCUGCUUUCACCAUGCCAGGAGAAACAAAGACCCAUGGCCACAAGGAAGGAACAACAAUGUUCUUACACAAAGCGGCCUUCAGGACCUUUGUAGUGGCUGACACGGUGGCCAUGUGCAGCUCAAUGGUGGUGGCACUGGUGCUAGUGUGGGCGGUCCCAAGUGUGCUGGGUAUGCUCGCCAAUGCAGUAGGUUGGGGGCUAAGGCUGUUAUGGGUGGCACUGGGGGGAAUGGUGGUCACGUUCGUGACAGCUGUGUACGUGACGAUCUCACCAGAUUGCAUGUGGUUGGUCGUUGUAUGUGUGAUGGGAUGUAGCGUGCCAUUCUUAGUUGCUCCCAUUGUCACUCUUUCCGCGUGUCAGAGUGUGCCAAAGAAGGCUUUCCAGUAUGACCAGAUCCAAGCUCCAUUGCGCUGAAAAAGUCGACAUCUCAAUGGAAAAUGUAACUCGCAAGCAGAAAUCCGCCAGUUUGCCAAAAUUACUACCAUGGCACUAGCUGGUAAAAAUGACAUCCCUGUUUGCUUCUAUUCAUGUGACCCAUCUAGGUAAAGGGGUGAACACACUGACUUUUCCCUUUCGCUUUUGGAUAUGAUUUGAGUCCUCUAAUUAGGAAAAUCCAUGGAAAGAUCAAUGGGAACACAAGAAUCAACUGACCUCCAUCCUAAAAGGAAGCCAGGGUUUUAUUGUCGUUCAUUCUUUUGUUGAGUGUUCAGUAUUCUGAUAUGCAAAACUGCAACGAAUUGCGAA